UGCUCUGUUUGCUACACUUU
rnacentral:miRNA from 1 species